rnacentral:rRNA from 1 species
UGAGGAAUAUUGGUCAAUGGGCGAGAGCCUGAACCAGCCAAGUAGCGUGCAGGAUGACGGCCCUAUGGGUUGUAAACUGCUUUUAUGUGGGGAUAAAGUGCGUGACGUGUCAUGCAUUGCAGGUACCACAUGAAUAAGGACCGGCUAAUUCCGUGCAAGCAGCCGCGGUAAUACGGAAGGUCCGGGCGUUAUCCGGAUUUAUUGGGUUUAAAGGGAGCGUAGGCUGUCUAUUAAGCGUGUUGUGAAAUUUACCGGCUCAACCGGUGGCUUGCAGCGCGAACUGGUCGACUUGAGUAUGCAGGAAGUAGGCGGAAUUCAUGGUGUAGCGGUGAAAUGCUUAGAUAUCAUGACGAACUCCGAUUGCGCAGGCAGCUUACUGUAGCAUAACUGACGCUGAUGCUCGAAAGUGCGGGUAUCAAACAGG